GUCUAUUUGAAGUUAUAAAAAGUCUAACCUGCCCAUUGAAAUUUUAAAAGGCCGCGGUAUAUUAACUGUGCAAAGGUAGCAUAAUCAUUAGUUUUUUAAUUGAAAGCUUGUAUGAAAGGUUGGACAAAGAAUAAUCUGUUUUCUGUUUUUAUUUUUGAACUUGACUUUUGAGUUAAAAGGCUUAACUAAACUUAAGGGACGAUAAGACCCUAUAAAUCUUUAUAUUAUUUUAUUUUAUAUUUAUUUAUAAUGUAUAUGUAAUAAUAAAUUAAUAAAUAUUAAAUUGGGGUGAUUUAAAUAUAUAAUUAACUGUUUAAAAAUUAAUUCAAUUUUUUUGAUUAUAAUAGAUCCUUAAUAGAGAUUAAAAGUUAAAGUUACUUUAGGGAUAACAGCGUAAUUAUCUUUGAGAGUUCAUAUCGAAAAGAUAGUUUGCGACCUCGAUGUUGAAUUAAUUUUUCUUUGUGGUGAAGGUGUUACAAAAGAAAGUCUGUUCGACUUUUAAAAUUUU
rnacentral:rRNA from 1 species